GUGUUGUAGGAAAGGGGAGAAUAACACUCCCCUUGAUAAGGAUGGAAGUGCCCUUGUGGUCUGUACCACACACAUACAGUUAAGGCACUGACACCGACCUGGUGGCAUCUAACCAUGUUUAA
rnacentral:ncRNA from 1 species